rnacentral:lncRNA from 1 species
GGGGACUCGUGGUUUAACUUAUCUAGUAGUGUAAACUAAUUAAAUUGGACUUGAUUGUAUAUAUUUUAUCUUUUUAUCUUUUUUAUUUUUUUAUAAAAAAGUGCUACUAGGGUUUGUGUUUUUUGUGCAUGCAGCAGGAGACUAGACAUACUAGGAGCAAGAAAAAUACACAACCUCUUCUUGAAGGCUUAAGCGAGACAAGGGGAAGAAGGAGAGUUAGACACCCAUCUAGGGAUUUGUUUCCUUCCCCUGACAGAUUACUAUCACCUUCACCAGUUCGAAGAGCAGAGGAGAUGGCUGAACGAACUCCUCCAAUACGCACUCUUGUAGAUCAAUCUAAUGUUGUUG